CUACAGUCAUUUCCCAGUCUAAUCAGCCAGCUGGACGCAAUUAAAAUCCCGACUUUCCAUGCCGAAACGUCACACCUGCUCAGUAGAUAACAGUUACCAAAAAUUCUUUCCUCUAUCUGUUAUCAUUUUCGAUUCACUCCUCAUUUGAAACAUCUUCAAUCCGGGUUCCUUGGCCACUCCUCUUCCAAGGCAGCUUCAUUGCAGAUCGGCGUAUCCCUUACCAGGUACAUCUCUUCCCUUUUUACUAAUGCUUCCUUCGCUAGUUUAUGGGCUUGAAUAUUUUAUGAUCUUUGAAUAAAUCGAAAAAUGAUUUCUUGAAACCGAGAACUACAACUCUGGAUAUCUCUGAUAAUCGCUCCGACAAUCGAUCUAUCCAUAUCUGUCGCUUUACAAUUUUUGAUGAUUGUUUUCGACUCCCCCAUAAGCGUGACUCAUUUUAGACCCAUUAAGAUGCCUAACUUGGCUGUCUGUAAACAUAUAAGUGCCUCUGCUAGAAACAGAGAUGAGACAUUGGCAUGAAGGGUCGUUUUUGAGGCUUUUAUCUCUCCCAUCUGAUCUCGAACGACAAUCCCCGACGCUGAUCUGGAAUUGUUUGCAUCAAAAGCUGCAUCGAAUUGUAUUAUGUCCCUUGUUGUCUCCUCCUUUUGCUUUUGUGUUCUGGUAGUCCCCAACACUCCUUCUAGUUCUGUUAAAUAGCUCUGUAUUUUUUGUACUAGAUCCCUUCCUGAUGCAAGUUUCUUUCAUGCACCAUUUGGUUCCGCGAGCUCCAUAUAACCCACAGAGUACAGCAAAACAUCCGACAAUGUUCCUUAGUACCUUUUCUGAAAACCCAAGCAAGCCAUGUCUUGAUAUUUUGAUCUAGAUGUGAUGUAACCCAAACCAUAUUAAGAUUCUUCCAUACUUCAAUGCUUGUAGGGCAUUGCCGAAAGACAUGGAAGCUGUCCUCUUCCCCAGACCAACAUCGAGGGCAUCUCACAUUUGUGGUUAUUCGCUUGCAUCUGAGAUUGACUAGUGUAUGAAUAUAGUUCCAGAAUAUCCGCCAGAAUAGAAGUAGAAUUUUUUAUGGAAUUUGUAAAUUCCAAAGUUUUCUGUUUAAUUCUUUAGUAUCAGUCUGUAAUAAAUAACUAUUAGGAUCCAGAAAGUUCACUUUUCCAAACGAGCAAGUCUUCGCAGUUUGUUACUGCAAGUGGGAUUUGCAAAAUUCUUUGAGUAAUGUCCGUUUGAAAGGUAUUAGUAAUAACCUCCGUUUUCCAUAUCUUACUUGUACCAUCGAUUAAAUCUGAUGCUAAUUUCAGCUCUCCAUUGUCAUCUCUGUUCUGCUAGAUAACAAGUUCUACCCCUGGAAUCCACUGACCUGUCCAAAUGGAGAUGCCAUUUCCUCUCCCAACUCUCCAACUUAGCCCUUGAAGAAUUAGUCCCUUUGUAAUCCAAAUACUCUUCCAUGUAAGAGAAGGUAAACUCCUCAACUAUGCACUUAGAAAAUUAGACCGUGGAUAAUACUUUGCUUUAAGAACCCUGGCUAAAAGUGAAUUUGGAUAAUUAAAGAGACGCCAACCUUGCUUGGCUAAUGAUGCGAUAUUAAACUGGCUAAGAUUACGAAAACCCAAACCUCCAUUUUCUUUUAAACUGCAAAUAUUUUUCCAAGAGCACCAAUGAAUUCCCUCUUUCCAUGUCCCCUUCUCCACCAAAAUUUCACAACAAUUGCUUCCAUUUCAUCGCAUAAAGAUUUUGGGAGUAAAAAGCAAGUCAUUGAAUAUGUCAGAAUUGCUUGUAAAAUAGUUUUAAUAAAAAUUUCUUUUUCACCCUGCGAUAAAAAUCUAGUACUCCAAUUGUCAAUGCGUUGCUUUAGCCUAUCCUUUAAAGCCUGAAAAGAUUUCUUCUUUUUUAAUCCCACCAUGUUCGGCAAACCUAGGUAUUGUUUUGGCUCAACUGAACUUCGAAUUCCCAACAAAUUGACAACCAGUCUUCUUUCUUCCUCUAUCGUGUUUUUACUGAAAAACAGUUGAUUUAUCAAAAUUCACACAUUGUCCCGAACAUCUUUUAUACUCAUUUAAGAUCUCCUUGAGUACAACAGCCCCUCUGCUUGUUGCUUCCCCAAAUAGAAUGCAGUCGUUUGCAAAUAAUAAAUGUGACACCUGUGGACCUCUUCUACUUACCUUGACACCCUUCAGAAAUCCUUCUUUUGUAGCUAUUCUCAUAAGACUAGAAAGGCCCUCUCCACAUAUUAGGAAAAGAAACGGACUCAAAGGAUCACCCUAUCGAAGUCCCCUGGUUGGACGGAAUGUUACUCCAACAUUUUCAUUUACCACAACCUUAUAUGAAAUAGUAGACAUGCAUUUCAUAAUAGUAUCAAUCCAUAUUUGAGCAAAUCUCAUUCGUAUCAUUAUCUCCCUAACAAAGUUUCAUUCAACCCUGUCAUAAGCCUUACUUAUGUCCAAUUUUACCGUCAUAAAGCCUUUUCCCCCCACUCUUUUCUGUUUUAGAGUAUACAAUAUUUCGUAAGCUAGCAAUACAUUAUCCGAGAUUAAUUUUCCUGGCACAAAAGCACUUUGAGCACUAUCAAUGCAUUUAUCAAUCACUCUUCGAAAUCUGUUCGCUGUAACUUUCGCCAUCAUUUUAUAAAUAACAUUGCAUAAACUAAUAAGCCUAAACUGUGACAUAUUAGAUGGGUUGUUAAUUUUUGGAAUAAGCACAAUAUGAGUUGUGUUAAUUGAACUGACCUCCAUAUCUCCAUUCAAGAAUUGUUGACACAAGGAAACUACUUCCUCUCCAAUAAAAUGCCAACAGCCAACACUUCUGAUAAAAGAUAGCUGGAAAUCCAUCCUCGCCCGGCACCUUUGGGGGUACCAUUUUGAACAAAGCCUCGUGAAUCUCUUCUCCUAUAUAUCGCGCCAUAAGCUCUUUAUUUUCCUCAUCAUAGACACAUCGAUCAAUGCUCGAGAGUAAAUAAUCAAUUUUUUUCUGAUUAUUUGAUGUAAACAAAUUCUGAAAGUAGGACCUUGAUAUUUCUUCCAUUUCUUAAAGAUCUCUCGUUUCCCUUCCAUGUUCACUUUGUAACUUACUAAUCAUGUUUUUCUUCUGCCUCUGGGUUGCCUGACUAUGGAAAAAAGCUUAAUUUUUGUCGCCUAAUUUUAACCAGUUCAGUUGGGCCCUUUGCUCCUAGUAUCUUUCAUCCUUCUCAAUUUCCAAAUUUAGCUAAAUCUUCGUAUCAAUCAUCUCCGCCAUGUUAGUAUCAUCCCUUUCAGCUUCAAGCAACUCUGAUAACUUUGCUGUUAAAGAUUCAUUUCUCCAUUUUUUAUUAAUUUGCAUUUUUCCCGCCCAAUUUUCCAGACCCUUCUUUAAAAAUUCCAUCUUCUACAGAAAAUCACCUGAUGCUAUCUCCCAUAAAAUUUCCAGUUUCAUCAACAAAAGAAUCUUCCAAAAAUUAUCAGGUUUCAAUUUUGAAACAAUUUUCAUUUUACUGUCUUCCUUCCUUUUUUGUAUAAAUUAAAAGAGGACAAUGAUCAGAAAAAGAAUGCACUAGAUGCUGAACUUUUACCUCAGAAAAUAGAUAAAUCCAUUCCUCAUUGGCAACCCUCUAUCUAUACAUACUUGUAUAUUUGUUUCUAGGAGAUUACCUCUCCCACAUGAACCAUCUACCCAAGUACCCCACAUCAUUCAGUUGACAAAACUCUAAAGCUUUCCAAAACAUUCCCAUCCUUAUUUCAUCUUAGGGCAGGCCUCCCUUUUUUUCAAAGCCAUACAUAAUUUCAUUGAAAUCUCCACAUACCAACCAAGGGACAUUCUUUUCAUUAUAAAGAUUUUUCAAGACAGCCCAUGAAUCUUCUCUAUCUUGUGCAUACGAAGUUCCAUAAAAACCUAUAAAUCGCCAAUUACCUUCUCUUUCAUUAUCACUCACUACCACAUCAAUAUGCCUUUAAGAGAUUCUGUAGUGAAAUAUUAACGUCAUUCCACCAAGCCAAACAUAACCCUCCUCUAGUACCUUCCGGAUCCACCUCAAUACCAUUCACAAAACCACAUCUCCGUUGAACUCUUUCCAUUUGAAUUCCACAAAGUUUCGUCUCCAUAAAGAAGACUAUAUGGGGAUCACAAGUCUUCAGCGAAUGCCAAAGUCUUCUAACUAUCCGUGGACUCCGUAAUCCAAGGACAUUUCAGCUUAAUAUUUUCAUUGCACCCGGUCGACUUGCCACUUGGCAGCCACCGAUGAUAAAUGAUUAAGAUCUUCCAAACUCCUAUUUCUUGUUAGGGUAUUAUUCAUCUCCUCAAUCCUUUGUAAAUCAUUAAGCUCCCCUCUAGAUCUUUUCUUACCCUCCUCUCUUACUAGGGCCACAUCCUCCAAAACGUGAUCUAUCGCAUUUAGGGUGUGAUUAGUCAGUGAACUAUCCUGCUUUGUACCAACACUUGAUAAACUGCCUUCCAAAUUAAAACCAAGAUUUGGAUCAACAGGCUUCCCAUAACUUUUCCUGUACUCCAUCCUUCGUUGUUCAUUUGCAAAUCCCCUAUUUACCUCAUGAAUUCCACUCGUAACCCCCUCACUUUCCUCUCGUAACCAGACACUGUUCAUAGUCAAAGCUCUUUGGGAUUGUGCUCUUAUUGAUAAAUCCCACCCCAUUUUAGUAAUUUUCACUCCAAUUGUCAUUUUUGCCUCACAAAAAGAAUCAUUAUGGCCCAACUUUCCAUAAUAGAAACAGAAAAGUGUCAACCUUUCAUAUUUAAAACUAACAUAUGAACGCCUCCCACGGAACUCGAUUUGUUUCUUCCUUUUCAAGGGACGUCUGAUAUCAAUUUGGACCCUGAUUUGCAUAAAAUUCCUAUUUUCUUUCCCUAUAUUUGGCACAUUGUAUUCCAUAAAGUACCCCAAGAAAUUUUCUAAAUUCACUACUAAGUUUUCAGAAAACAAACCAAUAGGCACAUUAUGUAUUUGAACCCAGAAAAGGGUUAACACUAAAGGCACCUACAGCGGAUCCUCCCCCUAAUGUAGUUUAUAAGUAUCAGCAAAUGAUUAUUAAAGGUUCAUGAGGAGCCUUUCAAAACCCUCUUCAUAUCCAUAGAAUGAAAACAUUGAAACAGUAACCUUUUUUCCCUAGAUCUCGGAUUCGAACGCCCCGAACAGUAUGCCACAAAUUCGCCAUAGUGCUUUUUCAUGGCUGGAAAGUGAAUUAUGCUUGCUAUGAGAAAACACCCCACUAAUUGAAAAAACUCUACCCUUCUUCCCGUACUAGGAUCUUCUUGAAUUUGAAUAGCAACAUCUUCCCUUCAUUUAUCAUUAAUUGGGCUUAUUAGUUCUCCAUUAUUUUUCAAGGACACAACGCAGAAAACCUAAAUUCUUGCCAGAGGUAGUAGACACAAGCGCGCUAGGGUAGCAGAUUGUUAAAACCUUAGAUUGUUGAGUUGUUAGUCUCACGGCAUAAAUAACUUGUACAGACUAUUGAUUUGUUUUGUACCAAUACAAUUAUUUUUUUCUUAAAAACACAUUAAAUUAAAUAAAUAUUAGAAUAGUAUAAAUACUUGGAAUUAUUAUAUAAAAAUAUUCAUGUUUAAAAUAGUUUUUAAAAAUUAGCAUGUUUUAAAAUUAAAAUAUUUGGAAUUAUAUAAAAAUAUUUGAAAAUUUGAAGUUAAAAUUUUAUAUUACAAUAUUAAAAAAUGUUGAACUACGCACGUGCCAAUCC
rnacentral:lncRNA from 1 species